UACAUUUUGGUGUAUGAUGCACAUAAAUUUUUGAUAUUUAGGGUAAUAGUUUAAUCCUAUAAAUGUAA
rnacentral:tRNA from 1 species